rnacentral:tRNA from 1 species
GGGCUUGUAGCUCAGCGGAUUAGAGCGUGUGGUUCCGAACCACAAGGACAAGGGUUCGAAUCCCUUCU